CAGCACAUGCACAGAGUACCUUGUGCCCCUGGCGGCUGGGGCUGGGCUGCUGCUGUUGUCGGUGUCUCUGAGCCUCGUCUGGACCCUCUGCCCUUGCACGCUAGGAUGCCGGCCCCGGAUCUCAGCGCCUCCAGCUUCCCGGGAGCCCCAGGCUGGAAUCGUCUACGCUCAUCUGGAUUUCGAUUCGCGGAAUCACGGCGGGCGCACGCUGCAGCAACCAGCCAG